GACGAACGCUGGCGGCGUGCUUAACACAUGCAAGUCGAACGUGAUUUUGUGGAAGUUCCUUCGGGGAUGGAAAUGAAAUGAAAGUGGCGAACGGGUGAGUAACACGUGAGCAACCUACCUUACACAGGGGGAUAGCCGUUGGAAACGACGAUUAAUACCGCAUGAGACCACAAAGCCACAUGGCUUAGGGGUAAAAGAUUUAUCGGUGUAAGAUGGGCUCGCGUCUGAUUAGCUAGUUGGAAGGGUAAAGGCCUACCAAGGCGACGAUCAGUAGCCGGUCUGAGAGGAUGAACGGCCACAUUGGAACUGAGACACGGUCCAAACUCCUACGGGAGGCAGCAGUGGGGAAUAUUGCACAAUGGGGGGAACCCUGAUGCAGCGACGCCGCGUGAGCGAAGAAGGUUUUCGAAUCGUAAAGCUCUGUCCUAUGAGAAGAUAAUGACGGUAUCAUAGGAGGAAGCCCCGGCUAAU
rnacentral:rRNA from 1 species